UGACGGAUAUGGGUGCAGGUCCCAAUCCAGAAAAGCAGCUGAACAGGGCAACCAAGGGGUCCUGUUCCCCACACGUUUUUGUUCUCAUUACAUCCAGUGCCUUUGCCUCUAUCAUGGACACAAGUAAUUGUACAGUGUAAUCACAUCACAGCUCAUCUGAAUAUUCAUAACCAACACAAAGACUGGAGGAGAAGAGAAGUGGGGAGGAAAAAGGAAGGUAAUUUAAAUAUAAAACAGCAUUUCAUUUGGAAGCAAAGUUCCCCGUCCAGCUCAAGAGAUUGUCUUGGUAGUGAUUCUGUCUGUCCAUCUCCUGUACAGAAGCGCGGGCAGUGGGAGCAGCCGCAGCCCCCGCUGUGGAGAGAGAAAAUAAAGCACAACAACAAACAGCGGCAGGACUGCCCCCAGCCAAAGGGAUGUUUGAAGAGUCGCCAACGGUGGCUAACCAGCUGCUGGUCUCCAGGAAAGAAAUAGUCUAUUGAGGGAGCUUUAUAAAGACCCCAAUUAAUAUGUUGUGCAUGUAUAAGAUCUACAAAGAGCCCACUGUAUUCCUCCCCCCGCAGCCACCACCUUCUCUUCCUGAUCAAUGCCAGUGGAGAAGGAUCUGUGCUACCAAAUAAUUGAUUAAUCUCUUCAGUGGUGAAAACGCCCCUCUCCAAAACAGAGAAGAAAAACAAACACAAAAAGAGGCAACAGUUCGCUAAAUAGCAUGUAAAUUACCGCUGGUUCCAUCCUGCUUUGUGCCUUUAAAAAUGAAAAGGGAAAGAGUAAAUAUAAUCCCCAUCUUAAUGUA